CCUGUGUUUAUACUGUUAUGUUUCUUUCCAUGUUUUAUUCAAUGUUUCACCUGCACCUCGACUCUCAGCGUCUCCGUUACACUGCAACCCAGUAAGCACGAGCUGAUGUCUCUCUUUUGGUCCAGAACAGACAUCUUUUUUUUCUUUUACAAACGGGUGGCAGAACAGUAAGGACCGACCCUGGUCUGAUUAUCAAUGUAAAUAUCUGAGUCAUAAUUGUUGAUGGCAGAGGCUAAGAAGGACAGUAAAGGGACUUUCAAGGGACUUUAAGAAUUCAAGAACCUCUUUUCAGGACAAGCAGCCAACGAGUUCUCACGGCGUGACGUGGAUGCAUCGGAGAAAAAGACGUGCAAUGCAAUAAACGCCCGUUUCAAAGAACAAACCUGUGUCUGUUGUCGUGAAGAGAGCUACAGUAAAUAUGUUGUAGAUGUUAUGUAAAUAUUCUGACUUACACACUUAACCUGGCACCACUUUUACACUUAAUAAACUG